ensembl:antisense Gm29542 predicted gene 29542
ACUAAACAUUGGGUUUAAUAAAGUCAGUAUUUCUCAAAGUGGAACAGUGAAUUUUUUUUCAAUUUUUUACAAAUGGUCGUUUUGGGAAAAUUUAUCACAUCAAAGUAACAGUUAAGAUAGAAUUGUGCUCAACCAAGCCACUUAUCUGCACUACAGAAUAGUACUUGAAAGCAAUCCUAGUCAGAUUAAAACCAUUUUGAGAGACAAGACUUGUGUUAAUAGCUACCUCAAAAGAGGUAGUUUUCCUUCCACAGUCAAAGGUCAAUUAAGAUUGACUAAUCUUUUUUUUCCUUGUCAUAUCUUCAGUUCAAAACACUAUGAUCACUGGUAAUACGGUCUGUAUCUUGUUUGAUCUGGAUGAUGCGGUCCAGGUAGUGGGGUUUGAGAAGGCGGGCCCUGCAUUCGUGGAGGAGGAGGUGGCCCUCUUGGUGCAGGCCAUAUACCAGGACUCAUUCCUCCUGGUUGUGUAAAUGGAGGGCUCAGAGUUCCUUGGUCUUCAGUAAACUGGGGUAAAGAGUUAGGAUUGUAAUGGUGAGGAGGGGGUGCAGUUACAGGUGGACCACCAUGCUGAGGUGGCAUCUGGGCAAUAAUAUGUCCAGGGGGAGGGGUUAUUGGGGGUGGAGCAGAGGUCAUUGGUGGAGGUGGUGGUUCUCUAGCACCUGAACUGGAGUCAUCCUGAAUAGGGACCGUUAUUAAAUUGCUGU